rnacentral:lncRNA from 1 species
GCCUUGGCUUUCUCGGCUAUCAAAUGGGAAUAAUAUCGUCUCCACCUCAUGGAAUCAUUUCCAUAAUUAAAUAAGACGGUAUAGGCAAAGGGUUUGGCACUGACCUCACACAGAGCCUAUACCUAAGGGCUGCGGGCAGUUACCAUCAGCUGUGGCAAUUGUGCUGACGAGUAUUUCUGUUCUUCUAAGUGAGCCCCAGGCAUGGAGACCCUCCCCAAAUCUUAGAAGGACUCCUGCUCAGAUGGAGGUUACAAGAACUGCUCUAGGAGGAAGGGGAUACAGCACCCUGUGAAUAGAGACCAUAGGGCUGCCCAGAUGCCCUGAGAAGAUUUCUCCACUAUCCUGGAGAGUCAUGGAGAGACUCACAUCAUGGAGAGAGACCCAACAAGCAUUUCCUCUCCUGCUUGUUGAUGGGAGAGCCCCUGGAAUUGAAGAAUUUUUCCAUGAGAACAUAAAUUGUCUACAUGUACGUAACAGCCUGGCAAUUUCUGCCCCGCGCAACCAAGAGAUCUCUAACUGGCACACAUUCUUGUGUCUGAGUCACAUCAUUCCAUGGCGCUUUGGGCUGCAGGCUGAUGUAACAGGAAACGCCUUGCCGCGUCUCACAGCUCUGCUACCUGGGACUCGCUUCUGCAGGACAAGAGUGACUAGGGCGUACCACAGGGUCUUCUCACUGGUCACUGCAGCUCUACAGUUCUUUGACAAGAAAUGAUCAUGAGAUCCAACCUAACUGCAAGGGGGCAGAGAAGUGUGGCCUUCCAUGUGUCAGUGAAGGAAAAGUAACUGUUUUGGUGAGCACCGUUUCCACUUCAUUAUCAUCACUUGCUUUGUAGAUGUAUAGAUCGUUCAUUCACCAAGUGUAAAACUAUUGCUUGAGGACCCACUAUAUGCAGGCACUGUUGUGGGCAUUGAUAACAGCGAGAGCCUUAAUUCAACGGCUGCAUUCCAUGAAGGAGGUCUGUCAUCCUGCGAAGACAGUGUGCUCUGCCUUUUUAUUGCUCACGAGAAUGUAAAAUAUAAACUCAAAGAACAGAGAUAAAAAUUUGCUUUCUGACAUACAGAUGGCUUCUAUCUAGAAGGUGUUAUAUAUUGGAAAUACUUAAACUUACAAAAAUUAGUAUCAAGGAUGAUCUUUGGAGUGUGACACACUGUAUUCCAGUCUUAGUGUCACCUCCCAUGAAACUUAGGUCUUUUUUUUUUAAUGUUUAUUUUUCAGAGAGAGAGAGAGAGACAGAGCAUGAGCAGGGGAGGGGCAGAGAGAGAGGGAGACACAGAAUCGGAAGCAGGCUCCAGGCUCUGAGCUGUUAGCACAGAGCCCAACACCGGGCUCGAACUCACCACCCAUGAGAUCAUGACCUGAGCCGAAGUCGGAUGCUCAACUGACUGAGCCACCCAGGUGCCCCCGAAACUUGUGUUAGGUGCCUCCUUUGUAAGAUGAAUAAGAGAAUAAUACUUUACACCCAGAGAAGGAUUAAAUGCAGUGAUGUGUGUAAAGUACACGGUGUACAGGCACAGCAGGCACUCUGUAGUGUGAAACACAUAAUUUCUAAUUAAAAAGUUAAAUAAUUUAGGGGCGCCUGGGUGGCUCAGUCGGUUGGGCGUCCGACUUCGGCUCAGGUCAUGAUCUCACAGUCCGUGAGUUCGAGCCCCGCGUCGGGCUCUGUGCUGACAGCUCAGAGCCUGGAGCCUGUUUCAGAUUCUGUGUCUCCCUCGCUCUCUGACCUUCCCCCAUUCAUGCUCUGUCUCUCUCUGUCUCAAAAAUGAAUAAACGUUAAAAAAAAAAAUUUAAAAAAAAAAAG